rnacentral:sRNA from 1 species
UGUAACUUCUUCUUUUUU